CUUUUACAUCCAGCCCCUUGCAAAAGGACCUCUGAAAGAAAUUAAAAUUACAUUGAAGUCCUUUGGAGGUCCUCCUGUUUUCUGGAAAUUGGGAAUUUGCACUGCUCUUACUUGGGUCAAGCCUGAGCUGUUCAGACCAACACCUCUAGUACCAGCAUACCACAGGCCACAUAAGGUAGUAACCAUGUGAAUGCGAACCUGCAGUACCAGCAUACCGAGGAUAGUAAAAUCGCAGUGUACUCUUUGUCCCAUCUGAACCUGUAAUAUGGCACACUGCCUACAGUGUGCCCUCGAGGUAGGUACUAGGCUACUAGCAGCGCGUAUUAGUAGACGUAGUUCUUGACGAACAUUCCCUCCUUGGCCUCGGCGGCCUCGCCGUCGGAGGUGUACUUGCCGAGCUGCGCCAGGGAGUUGGCCUUGGCGCGGAGCAGCAGAGCAUCCUGAGCCGCCUUCACGUUCUCUGGCCGGCCGCCCCAUGUCUUGAGGCAGGUGUUCUGAAGAGCCCUGGCGUAGGAGAAGGACACAUGCCACGGGUUGGGGCUCUGGUUCAUGGCGUUCAGGUUCUGGGUCGCCUCAACCUCAGACUGCCCACCGGACAGGAACUGCAUUUUUGUUUGGGUGCAACAGGAAAACAAUUUCAGUCGUCAGAACACCAUCUGAAUUUCUUGGCAAGUAUAUGCAUAUGCAGCAAGAGGAAAAAAUGUUACAGACCAUGAUGCCAGGGACGGCAGGAGGGAUCCUUCUGCGGAGGAGCUUGAGGGUGUAGUCGGCAACUUGCUGAGGGGUGGCCCUGUCCUUGCACUCAGCACCAGGGGUGACCAUGCUGGGCUUGAGGAGGAUGCCCUCGAAUAUCACAUUGUUCUCAGCCAGGUAGUAGAAGGUCUCGGCCCACACCUUCUGUGCAACCUCGAAGGUCCUCUCGAUGCCGUGCUCACCGUCAAGAAGGAUUUCAGGCUCCACAAUUGGCACCAGGCCGUUGUCCUAGCGUAUCCACAGAUAGUAUAUGUUUAUAUACAUGCAUGUCGAAAGGAAACCAAUGGUCCUUUUUCAACUGGUGAGCGUUUCUGGCUGUUGAAAAUGGUAGGAUACCUGAGAAAUCGCGGCAUAGCGGGCAAGGCCCCAGGCAGCUUCCUUCACGGCAAGUUCAGAUGGACCAUUGGGGAUGCUGAUAACAGUGCGCC
rnacentral:lncRNA from 1 species